AGGUUCAGCCUACAGGCCAGUAUCCACAUCUCUUGCUGAAGCUACAAGGUCACGCACAAAUCCACAUGGGCUCGGUGCUUUGCACAGGUCGGAAGCUGCAGGCUCAUUCACGGAAUUGCAAACUCGUGGUAUGUCAUUUCUGGGAUAUGCAUCAUUAUGUUGCUGUCUUUCAUUGUUUCCACUUUUUUAUUUUUUUGUACAUUUAUUAGCUAUGGUCAAAUGCCUGUGGUCUGUUUUAUGUUCAGGCUCGUCAUACACACCAGUAUCCACACCCCUUGCUGGAGCUACAAGGCCACACACGGAACCACAUGUGCUUGAUGUGUCAUUUUGAUGUCGCAUUGCUAUGUUUGUUAUGGUGCUGUAGUUCUUGAUAGUUAGUUCUUUUAAUGCAAUUAGGAUUCUUUGCCUACUUCAGGCGUUUUGAGCCUAUCUAUCUAACUAUCCUCUUACGUCUUUGUUUCAGGUGGUUUAUGCAGGCCUGCUUCGACACAUGCUGAAAAUGCCAGCUUCACAGAGUUGCAACGUCUUGAUUCAUCGUACAGGCCGGUAUCCACAUAUCCGACUGGAGCUACAAGGUCACACGCAGAUCCACAAGUGCUUGCCUUCAUGGAAAGGGUCUCACAGAUACUUAAUGGUAUUAAGCAGACCCAGCAGGCCCAUUCACAAUACCUUAAUGAGCUGCUCAGCAAUGCCAACAGUGCAUCUUCACAACCUUGUGACCUCCCUGAUUUGCCUUUUUCGGAUGCGACAGACAUGCUCGAUGUUGUUUCGGAUUUGCCUUUUUCGGGAGCUUGAGACGGACAGACAAGCUCUACAUCAGAUGGCACAUUGACUAAUGACAUCAGACACCCAGAUGCCACCCUAGAGGAUCUCAAGAGGGCUGCCAUGACUUGGUUCCGCCAUGCUGCCAAGCGAUUUGCUGCUCAACAAAUAUAAUUUUUUUAAUUUCGCUAUUUUUUCACUAGUGUUUCAUCCUUUUUUGUUUUGUUUUUAAUGUUACCGUUUGCCACAUUCAGAGCCAUCAUAUUCUUAAUGUGUUGUUUCCUGUGCCUAGCUGAAAUUUUUGUUCCCUGAAACUUAAUUUCUUUACUGGUGCACACAGCUUGCACUGCCUGCUUAACUCUCUUCUAGCAGUGUAGGAUUAAGAUGUAAGAGAGCAGAACUAAGACUAAUUAAAUGCAUCAUUGGCGUAACUUGGAACACUGUUGUACAAUGUUUAAAAAGUGAACCGCAAUGUGCACAAAAGCACCUUAGCAAGUUAAUACAACUUUGAACUCUGCUCUACUAGGUGAGAGUUAAGCAGGCUGUGCACACCAGUAACGAAAUUAGGUUCCAGGAAAUCAAAAUUUCUCUUGGGCACAGGAAACAACACAGCAAAAGUUUAAAAUAAACUUUGUAUUAAUAGGUCCUGUGAGGAGAAUGUGACUUAAUUACAUGUGUGUUCAUCUUAUGGGAAGCGUGCAAUAAAAGUUAACGUUUCA